rnacentral:rRNA from 1 species
GGGUUGUGAGGUUAAGCGACUAAGCGUACACGGUGGAUGCCCUGGCAGUCAGAGGCGAUGAAGGACGUGCUAAUCUGCGAUAAGCGUCGGUGAGGUGAUAUGAACCGUUAUAACCGGCGAUUUCCGAAUGGGGAAACCCAGUGUGUUUCGACACACUAUCAUUAACUGAAUCCAUAGGUUAAUGAGGCGAACCGGGGGAACUGAAACAUCUAAGUACCCCGAGGAAAAGAAAUCAACCGAGAUUCCCCCAGUAGCGGCGAGCGAACGGGGAGGAGCCCAGAGCCUGAAUCAGUGUGUGUGUUAGUGGAAGCGUCUGGAAAGGCGCGCGAUACAGGGUGACAGCCCCGUACACAAAAAUGCACAUAUUGUGAGCUCGAUGAGUAGGGCGGGACACGUGGUAUCCUGUCUGAAUAUGGGGGGACCAUCCUCCAAGGCUAAAUACUCCUGACUGACCGAUAGUGAACCAGUACCGUGAGGGAAAGGCGAAAAGAACCCCGGCGAGGGGAGUGAAAAAGAACCUGAAACCGUGUACGUACAAGCAGUGGGAGCCUCUUAAUGGGGUGACUGCGUACCUUUUGUAUAAUGGGUCAGCGACUUAUAUUCUGUAGCAAGGUUAACCGAAUAGGGGAGCCGAAGGGAAACCGAGUCUUAACUGGGCGUUAAGUUGCAGGGUAUAGACCCGAAACCCGGUGAUCUAGCCAUGGGCAGGUUGAAGGUUGGGUAACACUAACUGGAGGACCGAACCGACUAAUGUUGAAAAAUUAGCGGAUGACUUGUGGCUGGGGGUGAAAGGCCAAUCAAACCGGGAGAUAGCUGGUUCUCCCCGAAAGCUAUUUAGGUAGCGCCUCGUGAAUUCAUCUCCGGGGGUAGAGCACUGUUUCGGCAAGGGGGUCAUCCCGACUUACCAACCCGAUGCAAACUGCGAAUACCGGAGAAUGUUAUCACGGGAGACACACGGCGGGUGCUAACGUCCGUCGUGAAGAGGGAAACAACCCAGACCGCCAGCUAAGGUCCCAAAGUCAUGGUUAAGUGGGAAACGAUGUGGGAAGGCCCAGACAGCCAGGAUGUUGGCUUAGAAGCAGCCAUCAUUUAAAGAAAGCGUAAUAGCUCACUGGUCGAGUCGGCCUGCGCGGAAGAUGUAACGGGGCUAAACCAUGCACCGAAGCUGCGGCAGCGACACUAUGUGUUGUUGGGUAGGGGAGCGUUCUGUAAGCCUGUGAAGGUGGCCUGUGAGGGUUGCUGGAGGUAUCAGAAGUGCGAAUGCUGACAUAAGUAACGAUAAAGCGGGUGAAAAGCCCGCUCGCCGGAAGACCAAGGGUUCCUGUCCAACGUUAAUCGGGGCAGGGUGAGUCGACCCCUAAGGCGAGGCCGAAAGGCGUAGUCGAUGGGAAACAGGUUAAUAUUCCUGUACUUGGUGUUACUGCGAAGGGGGGACGGAGAAGGCUAUGUUGGCCGGGCGACGGUUGUCCCGGUUUAAGCGUGUAGGCUGGUUUUCCAGGCAAAUCCGGAAAACCAAGGCUGAGGCGUGAUGACGAGGCACUACGGUGCUGAAGCGACAAAUGCCCUGCUUCCAGGAAAAGCCUCUAAGCAUCAGGUAACAUCAAAUCGUACCCCAAACCGACACAGGUGGUCAGGUAGAGAAUACCAAGGCGCUUGAGAGAACUCGGGUGAAGGAACUAGGCAAAAUGGUGCCGUAACUUCGGGAGAAGGCACGCUGAUAUGUAGGUGAAGCGACUUGCUCGUGGAGCUGAAAUCAGUCGAAGAUACCAGCUGGCUGCAACUGUUUAUUAAAAACACAGCACUGUGCAAACACGAAAGUGGACGUAUACGGUGUGACGCCUGCCCGGUGCCGGAAG